rnacentral:rRNA from 1 species
CCUACGGGCGGCAGCAGUGGGGAAUAUUGCACAAUGGGGGAAACCCUGAUGCAGCGACGCCGCGUGAGUGAAGAAGUAAUUCGUUACGUAAAGCUCUAUCAGCAGGGAAGAAAUACUGACCUUACGGUCAGCAGACGGUACCUGAGUAAGAAGCCCCGGCUAACACGUGCCAGCAACCGCGGUAAAAAGUAGGGGGCCAGCGUUAUCCGGAUUUAAUGGGGGGAAAGGGGGCGUUGACGGGUCGGCAAGGCUGGAGUGAAAUGCCGCAGCUUAACUGCGGAACUGCUUUGGAAACUGGCGAACUAGAGUGCGGGAGGGGUAAGCGGAAUUCCUAGUGUAGCGGUAAAAUGCGUAGAUAUUAGGAGGAACACCGGUGGCGAAGGCGGCUUACUGGACCGUAACUGACGUUGAGGCUCGAAAGCGUGGGGAGCAAACAGGAUUAGAUACCCGUGUAGUC